GCAGAUCUGGCAUCCUCCCCCCCUCCCCCCAAGAGCCGGGCUUCACGGGGGCUUUGCUGGUGAUAACUGCAUUUUUUAGGGCCACCGCGCCGAAACUAGCGCGUAGGCUUUUGGUGUUCUGGUGCCGCUAAUGCGGAAGGUCCGAUCUUUCUGGUCGGCGGAAGAAAUUUCAGGACAGGAAGCCUGAAGAAGAAUGGCCAGCUCUAAUUCUCAAGACAUGGUCUGUGGGUCAGUGACAUUUAGGGAUGUGGCUGUUGACUUCUCUCAGGAGGAGUGGGCCUGCCUGGAUGCUACUCAGAAGGUCUUAUACAGGGACAUGAUGUUGGAGACCUACAGCAACCUGGUCGCAGUGGUGGGAAGUUGUAUUUCUAAGCCAGAUCUGAUCGUCUUACUAGAGCAGGAGAAAGAGCCCUGGAUGACUGUGAAGGAAGAAACAGACAGGCCGAGCCCAGAUUUGGAGACAGAUUAUGAUGCUGGAAGUAUAUCUCCAGAAAAUUCUAUUAGUAAUGGAAAAUUUCCCAAACAGAGCAUAAAGCAAUUACGUAGAAUUCUUGAUCUCAAGGGCUCUACUUUUAGUAAUGGCCACAACCAUAGUACAUUCAGUGGACUACAGGGUUAUAAAGGAGGAGAUGCUGAUCAAAAGGUUACUAACAAGGAAGAAAUGCCUACCUAUACCUGCCAGACUCUUGCUCACAAUACAGAAAAGGCAUAUGAGUGUAAAGAGUGUGGGAAGUGCUUUGGUUGUAGGUCAACUCUAACUCAGCAUCAAAGUAUUCAUACUGGAGAGAAGCCCUAUGAAUGUAAGGAGUGUGGGAAGGCCUUCAGACUCCCCCAACAGCUCACAAGACAUCAGAAGUCUCAUAGUAGUGAGAAACCUUUUGAGUGUAAUGAAUGUGGAAAGGCUUUUCAUCUUCCUGACCUGCUUAAGUACCAUAAAACCAUUCAUACAGGUGAAAAACCAUUUGAAUGCAGGGAAUGUGGGAAGUCCUUCAACCGAGUCUCCAACCUUGUUGCACAUAGGAUUAUCCAUGCUGAUGUGAAACCAUACAAAUGUAGUGAGUGUGGGAAAGCCUUUAAACGGCGCUCAAACCUCGUGCAACAUCAGAAAACUCAUUCUGAUGAAAGACCCUUUCAGUGUAAGGACUGUGGGAAGGGCUUCAUUGUUCUGGCUCAGCUCACAAGGCACCAGAACAUUCACACUGGAGAGAAGUCAUUUGAAUGUCAUGAAUGUGGGAAAGCCUUCAGACUCCCCCAACAGCUCACAAGACAUCAGAAGUCUCACAGUGGUGAGAAACCUUUCAAAUGCAAUGAAUGUGGAAAGGCUUUUCAUCUUCCUGACCUGCUCAAGUACCAUAAAACCAUUCAUGCAAGUACAAAACCAUUUGAAUGCAGGGAAUGUGGGAAGUCCUUCCAUCGAAUCUCUAACCUUGUUGAACAUAGGCUUAUUCAUGCUGAUGUGAAACCACACAAAUGUAAUGAGUGUGGGAAAGCCUUUAAACGACACAAAAGCCUCAUGCAACAUCAGAAAAUCCAUUCUGGUGAGAGACCCUUUCAGUGCCAGGAGUGUGGGAAGGCCUUCAUUGUUCUGGCUCAUCUCACUCGGCACCAGACCAUUCAUACUGGAGAGAAGUCAUUCGAGUGCAAGGAAUGUGGCAAGAAAUUCAGAACUGCCACACACCUUGUUAUGCACCAGAGUAUUCAUACUGGUGAGAAACCCUUUGAAUGUAAUGUAUGUGGGAAGGCUUUUCGGCUUCAGAUAUACCUUUCUGAGCACCAGAAAACUCACAUGGAAGCAAAACACUUUGAAUGCAAUGUAUGUGGGAAGGUCUUUAAGCUUCAGGUAUACCUUUCUGAGCAUCAGAAAACUCACACCGAAGAGAAACCUUUCAAGUGUAAGCUCUGUGGGUCAGCCUUCAGAAGUAAGUACCAACUUAGUAAACAUCACACAAUUCAUACUGAUGAAAAACCCUAUCAAUGCAAGGAAUGUGGGAAAUGCUUUCGUCAAAGGUCAAAUUUUACUGAUCACCAGAGUAUUCACACUGGACAAAAACCCUUCCAAUGUAAAGAGUGUGGGAAAUUUUACAGACUUAAUACACUUCUCAUUCGUCAUCAGAAGUCUCACAGUAGUGAGAGACCUUAUGAGUGUAAAGAAUGUGGAAAGGCUUUCCAUCUUCCCAGUGAACUUAAUAACCAUCAAAUUGUUCAUACAAGUAAGAGACCCUUUGAAUGCAAGGUAUGUGGGAAGUCCUUCAAGCGUGAAUCCACUCUCAUUCAACAUAUGGCCAUUCAUGCUGGUGUGAAAUCAUAUGAAUGUAAAGAAUGUGGGAAAGCUUUUAUUCAUCGCUCAAGCCUAUUGCACCAUCGGAAAAUUCAUUCCGACGAGAAACCUUUUAAGUGUCAGGAGUGUGGAAAGGCCUUCGUUGUUCUGGCGUACCUCACUCGGCACCAGAGCAUCCACACUGGAGAGAAAUCAUUUGAAUGUCAGCAGUGUGGGUCAGCCUUCAGAUAUAAGUCCCAACUCAGUAAACAUCAGAGAAUUCAUACUGAUGUGAAACUCUUUCAGUGCAUGGAAGGUAGAAAUGAUUUUGUUCAUGGCCUAGACCUUAGAAUUCAUCAGGGAAUCCAUACCAGCGAGACUCCCUUUCAAUGUAAUGAAUAUGGGGAACCCUUUCAUAAUCAUAACCAAUUUUCUUGGACAUAUUAGAAUUCAUACUGAUAGGAAACCCUAUCACUGUAAGGAAUGUGGAAAGAACUUCAAUUUGAGCUCAGACCUUUAACAUAAAAGAACCCGGGCUGGUGAGAUGGCUCAGUGGGUAAGAGCACCCGACUGCUCUUCCGAAGGUCCAGAGUUCAA